rnacentral:rRNA from 1 species
AGAGUUUGAUCCUGGCUCAGGACGAACGCUGGCGGCGUGCUUAACACAUGCAAGUCGAACGAUGAAGCCUUUCGGGGUGGAUUAGUGGCGAACGGGUGAGUAACACGUGGGUGAUCUGCCUUGCACUUCGGGAUAAGCUCGGGAAACUGGGUCUAAUACCGGAUAGGACCUGCUCGUGCAUGCGGGUGGGUGGAAAGAUU